rnacentral:rRNA from 1 species
GACGAACGCUGGCGGCGUGCCUAAUACAUGCAAGUAGAACGCUGAAGGAGGAGCUUGCUUCUCUGGAUGAGUUGCGAACGGGUGAGUAACGCGUAGGUAACCUGCCUGGUAGCGGGGGAUAACUAUUGGAAACGAUAGCUAAUACCGCAUAAGAGUAGAUGUUGCAUGACAUUUGCUUAAAAGGUGCAAUUGCAUCACUACCAGAUGGACCUGCGUUGUAUUAGCUAGUUGGUGAGGUAACGGCUCACCAAGGCAACGAUACAUAGCCGACCUGAGAGGGUGAUCGGCCACACUGGGACUGAGACACGGCCCAGACUCCUACGGGAGGCAGCAGUAGGGAAUCUUCGGCAAUGGACGGAAGUCUGACCGAGCAACGCCGCGUGAGUGAAGAAGGGUUUCGGAUCGUAAAGCUCUGUUGUAAGAGAAGAACGAGUGUGAGAGUGGAAAGUUCACACUGUGACGGUAUCUUACCAGAAAGGGACGGCUAACUACGUG